GCCCCCGCCCCCUGCACUCCAUCGCCUCCCCUCCCAUCCUGGACCCGGGGGAGCCUCGCGCGCCGGGGCCCUGAGUUACCCUGGCAACCAGCAGGUUGCCUCGCGCCCCCACCCCUUCUCACCCAGCGACCCCCAAGGCCCUCGCGCCCCACUCCGGGCCAACGGUCAUCGAACUUCCCCUCCCCCUCCCUAAGCUUGAAGGGCUGCGGUGCGGGGUGUGAGACCAGACGGGAGAGGCUGGCAUGGGGGGAAGGGGAGAGGAGCCAGGGCUGUGUCCGGAGAGGGGGGCCCGGAUAGGCUGCGGGAUUAGGGUAUGGGCAGUGGGAGAGGGAAGAGAUCCACUGAGGAGCUCGAGAGGGGUCCCUUCCCCCCCCCUCCCCAAAGGUGGACCAGGGGCAGCCCGAAAGGGCCGGAAGAGAGAAGGGUCCGAGAAGUUUUAAGGAGGGGGAGGUGGGGCGCAGGUAAAGAGGCUGCGAAGGAGCACCUCAGGGAAGGCUGGUAAGCGUCCGGGUAGGUAAAGGCAGGAAUAGGUGUCGAUAGGGGCCAACUGCAACUUCCCUUCUUCAUUGGCCCCACCCACCUACGGUCCUGGGGCUCAGACUUUCCCCAGCCUUGCCACUGUUCCAGCUUGCAUCGAUGACAUGACUUUGCAGAAGCAGUUGCAUCUUCUGUUCCUCAACACUGAGGGAAACCAGUUCCCCAUCUCCCAUGAAGUUUGUUCUACUUGGCUACUUUCCCCCCAGAGAUUACUGUGCCCACCCAGCUUUUCCUCUCAGACGAAGAAGAUGGAGCAUCACUUCUCAGCAAUAAGUUGUGUUUUCUCCCCUAUAACAUAAAAGUGAUUCUGCUAA